rnacentral:rRNA from 1 species
GGAAAACGUUGUGAAGGUGCAUAGACAACUAGGAGGUUGGCUCAGAAGCAGCCACCCUUUAAAGAGUGCGUAAUAGCUCACUAGUCGAGUGCUCUUGCGCGGAUAAUGUACCGGGGCUAAGCAUAUUACCGAAACUGUGGAUGCGUAAGCAUGGUAGGAUAGCGUAAUUAACGCGAUGAAGGAUGACCGUAAGGACAUGUUGGAGCGUUAACUAGUGAGAAUUCCGGUAUGAGUAGCGAAAGAUAGGUGAGAAUCCUAUCCACCGAAUGAGUAAGGUUUCCCCCGGAAGGCUCGUCCGCGGGGGGUUAGUCGGGACCUAAGGCGAGGCUGAAAAGCGUAGUCGAUGGACAACAGGUUGAUAUUCCUGUACCGAUAUUUAAUUGCCGAAGGAAGGACGCAGAAGGAUAACACAGGCCACUAUUGGAUGUGGUUUUAAACAGUUAGUCUUCAUAAGAGUCAAAUGCUUUUAUGUUUAAGGAUAAGCUGUGAAUGUACCAAGUUUACUUGGAAAUUGUGUGAUUUCACGCUGCUGAAAAAAGUUUCGUAGGAAGAAAAUAUUGCCCGUACCGCAAACCGACACAGGUACUCGAGUGGAGAACACUAAGGUGAGCGAGUGAACUAUUGUUAAGGAACUCUGCAAAAUGAGUCCGUAACUUCGGAAGAAGGACUGCUGGUUUUAUACCAGCCGCAGCAAAUAGGCCCAAACAACUGUUUAUCAAAAACACAGGUUUCUGCAAAAUCGUAAGAUGAAGUAUAGGGGCUGACGCCUGCCCAGUGCUGGAAGGUUAAAAGGAGGACUUAGCUUCGGCGAAGGUCUUAAUUGAAGCCCCAGUGAACGGCGGCCGUAACUAUAA